rnacentral:rRNA from 1 species
GAUGAACGCUGGCGGCGUGCCUAAUACAUGCAAGUCGAGCGAACGGACGAGAAGCUUGCUUCUCUGAUGUUAGCGGCGGACGGGUGAGUAACACGUGGAUAACCUACCUAUAAGACUGGGAUAACUUCGGGAAACCGGAGCUAUACCGGAUAAUAUUUUGAACCGCAUGGUUCAAAAGUGAAAGACGGUCUUGCUGUCACUUAUAGAUGGAUCUGCGCUGCAUUAGCUAGUUGGUAAGGUAACGGCUUACCAAGGCAACGAUGCAUAGCCGACCUGAGAGGGUGAUCGGCCACACUGGAACUGAGACACGGUCCAGACUCCUACGGGAGGCAGCAGUAGGGAAUCUUCCGCAAUGGGCGAAAGCCUGACGGAGCAACGCCGCGUGAGUGAUGAAGGUCUUCGGAUCGUAAAACUCUGUUAUUAGGGAAGAACAUAUGUGUAAGUAACUGUGCACAUCUUGACGGUACCUAAUCAGAAAGCCACGGCUAACUACGUG